UACGGAGGGUGCAAGCGUUAUCCGGAUUUACUGGGUUUAAAGCGUGCGUAGGUGGUGAGUUAAGUCUGUCGUGAAAGCCCCGGGCUCAACCUGGGAAUGGCGAUGGAUACUGGCUCGCUAGAGUGCGGUAGAGGAGAGUGGAAUUCCCGGUGUAGCAGUGAAAUGCGUAGAGAUCGGGAGGAACAUCAGUUGCGAAGGCGGCUCUCUGGACCAGCACUGACACUGAGGCACGAAAGCGUGGGGAGCAAACAGG
rnacentral:rRNA from 1 species